AAGUCGUAACAAGGUUUCCGUAGGUGAACCUGCGGAAGGAUCAUUAACACGUAUCCAAACGUUAAAAACCCUGUAACCCGCAAGGAACAGCAAUCCCGGUAAAUCAUUGUUGAACAGUUUUGAUUCGGGACCUCUGUACAGUUACGGUCGUAGCUUAGAGUCAGUGGCAUGGCUUCCCCAAGCAGUAGUGAAAUGACAUUGUCACUAUCUGUGUAAGGAUAACGCCUCACGGUUGCUAGAGGUCGAUCACCGGCCGGCAAACAUGUCACAGGGCUAUAUGCCCCCUAACCACCCCUUGCACGAAUGUCUCGCCUAGUGGUCACGCGCUUGGCACCAAAACGAACAACUGUUAACAAUGGAUAUCUUGGUUCUC
rnacentral:misc_RNA from 1 species